UGUCCUUAAGGUGCUCGGGAACCUCAAACCACACCUGUAUUUAACCGUUUAUUAGUUUAGUUUUUCGAGAAAUCAACAAUGUAAUACAUAAUAUUAUUUUGUAAACUCACCGACAUCGCGUUGUGGACCAUGUCCUUAACCUCCUGCGGGACCUCGCCCCAGUCUGACCACAACAUAGGGACUCUAUCCCUAAUGAGCGCUCCCACGCGGCCGGAGUACGUCCUCGACUUCCCGCCCGAUACUAUGUGGCCAUCCCCGUCAGUAUUGAUGACGAUCCUCCCCACGGUACCCACGAUCUUCUCGAGAGCCUUCCCUGUGACGGGGCCUCUCUUCUUCUUUGUCGGCUUCGCUCCGACGGUGCCUAUCACAUGAUAAACCAAAUUGAUUAUUUAAAUCGGAGACCCUUUAAAAAUAAUCAUGCAUCACUGAUUACCUGAGGCGCUCGCGGCGGACACGACGGAUUCCGUCUCUGUCGCCGAUGAUGAUACCCUCGCAGAAAUAAGAGGCGUAUCAAAAGGCACGAACCGGUACGCCGCUGAUGGAGCCACUGGCGGGGGCAGUGGAUAAAUCGGCGUCCCUGAGUCAUCGACUACAGGUAUGGCCGGUAUCAUCUGCGGAAGGAAUAGGUGAGGCGGCGGCAUCUGUACCCCAGAUGACCCACUAUCCGAAGAAGUAGGAGCUGGAGUGGGCGCCCGGUGUAUCUCAGGCAUACGNNNNNNNN
rnacentral:lncRNA from 1 species